AACGAACGCUGGCGGCGUGCCUAACACAUGCAAGUCGAACGAGAAAGCUACCCUUCGGGGGGUGAGUAAAGUGGCAGACGGGUGAGUAACACGUGGGCAACCUGCCCCGAGUGGGGGAUAACCCUCCGAAAGAGGGCUAAUACCGCAUGACAUCCCAUGGCCGAUGGGCCAGGGAUCAAAGCAGGCCUCUUCUUGAAAGCUUGCGCCACGGGAUGGGCCCGCGCCCCAUUAGCUUGUUGGUGAGGUAACGGCUCACCAAGGCGACGAUGGGUAGCCGGCCUGAGAGGGCGAUCGGCCACACUGGAACUGAGACACGGUCCAGACUCCUACGGGAGGCAGCAGUGAGGAAUUUUGCGCAAUGGGCGAAAGCCUGACGCAGCGACGCCGCGUGGAGGACGAAGGCCUUCGGGUCGUAAACUCCUGUCAAGAGGGACGAAUGUCAGGUGGAUGAAUAAGCCUCCUGGCUGACGGUACCUCUGGAGGAAGCCCCGGCUAACUCCGUG
rnacentral:rRNA from 1 species